rnacentral:lncRNA from 1 species
GUUGCAAUAUUUUUAACUAAUGGUAUUAAUUUUUUACUAUAGAACACAUGGCAUAAUCAUAAGUUGCCAUCUGACACUGUUUAAAAAAAUUAAAUCAUCAAGGGACCUAAAUAUGAUUAUACAUUAUUCAAACUUUUGACUUUUGUACUAAACUUUUGCGUCAGAAUUAAUUUUCCAUUUCUUUCUCUUUUUUCUUUUAAUUUUCUUCGAUUCUUCCUUCCUCAACUAUCUGUCACCGCUUCCAUGACCAGCCUCCUUUCCGGCCAGAAAGUGAUACAGAGUGUUGCUCUCAGUCUUCUCUUUUGAUAUCUCCAAUUAUAUUUCUCGAAAAAUUUCCCAAAAGCUACAGAAAAAUGCCUCCAAAUUGUUGAGAAAAAAAAAAACAGAUUCUAGAUACCAAAGCUCUCAACAUGUUUUACCUUCCAGUUUUAAGUUUUCAAGAUCCAACUUUUGCUUAGAAAGUUUGUGUUUUUGAUGGAGUGUUCAUUGAGAGUUGCAAAAAAGGAGAUGGGCUUGGCGUUUAACGUUGUUUAAUUGUUUGUAGUGAGAAAAGCCAUUUGUUUGUUGGUGAGAAAAAAACCCAGAUUCUAACAACAUUUGAAUGAAAAUAAAUAAAGUUGCAGCCAUUGUUGAAACACCAAUGGCUGAAACCAAUCGGUUUUCUAUGGAAGAAAAAUGAGCUUUUUAAGCUUGAUUUUAGUUUUGGAAUCUUCAAAUAUUUGGGCUAACUCUUUCGGAA